ensembl:snoRNA
CUGGCCCUGAAUCAAGGCCGGCAGCUUCUGGAUGCUGUUGGUUUCAAGCAAGAGCCUAAAGAGAUGUCUUUCUAUGGUCUGUUGGCCAUUUCAGAACUUGGGCAGUGAAAUUCAUUAGAAAGAAACAGCU